rnacentral:rRNA from 1 species
AAGUCGAGCGAACGGACGAGAAGCUUGCUUCUCUGAUGUUAGCGGCGGACGGGUGAGUAACACGUGGAUAACCUACCUAUAAGACUGGGAUAACUUCGGGAAACCGGAGCUAAUACCGGAUAAUAUUUUGAACCGCAUGGUUCAAAAGUGAAAGACGGUCUUGCUGUCACUUAUAGAUGGAUCCGCGCUGCAUUAGCUAGUUGGUAAGGUAACGGCUUACCAAGGCGACGAUACAUAGCCGACCUGAGAGGGUGAUCGGCCACACUGGGACUGAGACACGGCCCAGACUCCUACGGGAGGCAGCAGUAGGGAAUCUUCGGCAAUGGGGGCAACCCUGACCGAGCAACGCCGCGUGAGUGAAGAAGGUUUUCGGAUCGUAAAGCUCUGUUGUUAGAGAAGAAUGAUGGUGGGAGUGGAAAAUCCACCAAGUGACGGUAACUAACCAGAAAGGGACGGCUAACUACGUGCCAGCAGCCGCGGUAAUACGUAGGUCCCGAGCGUUGUCCGGAUUUAUUGGGCGUAAAGCGAGCGCAGGCGGUUUUUUAAGUCUGAAGUUAAAGGCAUUGGCUCAACCAAUGUACGCUUUGGAAACUGGAGAACUUGAGUGCAGAAGGGGAGAGUGGAAUUCCAUGUGUAGCGGUGAAAUGCGUAGAUAUAUGGAGGAACACCGGUGGCGAAAGCG